UUAAGCGACUAAGCGUACACGGUGGAUGCCCUGGCAGUCAGAGGCGAUGAAGGACGUGCUAAUCUGCGAUAAGCGUCGGUAAGGUGAUAUGAACCGUUAUAACCGGCGAUUUCCGAAUGGGGAAACCCAGUGUGAUUCGUCACACUAUCAUUAACUGAAUCCAUAGGUUAAUGAGGCGAACCGGGGGAACUGAAACAUCUAAGUACCCCGAGGAAAAGAAAUCAACCGAGAUUCCCCCAGUAGCGGCGAGCGAACGGGGAGCAGCCCAGAGCCUGAAUCAGUGUGUGUGUUAGUGGAAGCGUCUGGAAAGGCGUGCGAUACAGGGUGACAGCCCCGUACACAAAAAUGCACAUACUGUGAGCUCGAUGAGUAGGGCGGGACACGUGGUAUCCUGUCUGAAUAUGGGGGGACCAUCCUCCAAGGCUAAAUACUCCUGACUGACCGAUAGUGAACCAGUACCGUGAGGGAAAGGCGAAAAGAACCCCGGCGAGGGGAGUGAAAAAGAACCUGAAACCGUGUACGUACAAGCAGUGGGAGCACGCUUAGGCGUGUGACUGCGUACCUUUUGUAUAAUGGGUCAGCGACUUAUAUUCUGUAGCAAGGUUAACCGAAUAGGGGAGCCGAAGGGAAACCGAGUCUUAACUGGGCGUUAAGUUGCAGGGUAUAGACCCGAAACCCGGUGAUCUAGCCAUGGGCAGGUUGAAGGUUGGGUAACACUAACUGGAGGACCGAACCGACUAAUGUUGAAAAAUUAGCGGAUGACUUGUGGCUGGGGGUGAAAGGCCAAUCAAACCGGGAGAUAGCUGGUUCUCCCCGAAAGCUAUUUAGGUAGCGCCUCGUGAAUUCAUCUCCGGGGGUAGAGCACUGUUUCGGCAAGGGGGUCAUCCCGACUUACCAACCCGAUGCAAACUGCGAAUACCGGAGAAUGUUAUCACGGGAGACACACGGCGGGUGCUAACGUCCGUCGUGAAGAGGGAAACAACCCAGACCGCCAGCUAAGGUCCCAAAGUCAUGGUUAAGUGGGAAACGAUGUGGGAAGGCCCAGACAGCCAGGAUGUUGGCUUAGAAGCAGCCAUCAUUUAAAGAAAGCGUAAUAGCUCACUGGUCGAGUCGGCCUGCGCGGAAGAUGUAACGGGGCUAAACCAUGCACCGAAGCUGCGGCAGCGACGCUUAUGCGUUGUUGGGUAGGGGAGCGUUCUGUAAGCCUGUGAAGGUGUGCUGUGAGGUAUGCUGGAGGUAUCAGAAGUGCGAAUGCUGACAUAAGUAACGAUAAAGCGGGUGAAAAGCCCGCUCGCCGGAAGACCAAGGGUUCCUGUCCAACGUUAAUCGGGGCAGGGUGAGUCGACCCCUAAGGCGAGGCCGAAAGGCGUAGUCGAUGGGAAACAGGUUAAUAUUCCUGUACUUGGUGUUACUGCGAAGGGGGGACGGAGAAGGCUAUGUUGGCCGGGCGACGGUUGUCCCGGUUUAAGCGUGUAGGCUGGUUUUCCAGGCAAAUCCGGAAAAUCAAGGCCGAGGCGUGAUGACGAGGCACUACGGUGCUGAAGCAACAAAUGCCCUGCUUCCAGGAAAAGCCUCUAAGCAUCAGGUAACAUCAAAUCGUACCCCAAACCGACACAGGUGGUCAGGUAGAGAAUACCAAGGCGCUUGAGAGAACUCGGGUGAAGGAACUAGGCAAAAUGGUGCCGUAACUUCGGGAGAAGGCACGCUGAUACGUAGGUGAAGCGACUUGCUCGUGGAGCUGAAAUCAGUCGAAGAUACCAGCUGGCUGCAACUGUUUAUUAAAAACACAGCACUGUGCAAACACGAAAGUGGACGUAUACGGUGUGACGCCUGCCCGGUGCCGGAAGGUUAAUUGAUGGGGUUAGCGCAAGCGAAGCUCUUGAUCGAAGCCCCGGUAAACGGCGGCCGUAACUAUAACGGUCCUAAGGUAGCGAAAUUCCUUGUCGGGUAAGUUCCGACCUGCACGAAUGGCGUAAUGAUGGCCAGGCUGUCUCCACCCGAGACUCAGUGAAAUUGAACUCGCUGUGAAGAUGCAGUGUACCCGCGGCAAGACGGAAAGACCCCGUGAACCUUUACUAUAGCUUGACACUGAACAUUGAGCCUUGAUGUGUAGGAUAGGUGGGAGGCUUUGAAGUGUGGACGCCAGUCUGCAUGGAGCCGACCUUGAAAUACCACCCUUUAAUGUUUGAUGUUCUAACGUGGACCCGUGAUCCGGGUUGCGGACAGUGUCUGGUGGGUAGUUUGACUGGGGCGGUCUCCUCCUAAAGAGUAACGGAGGAGCACGAAGGUUGGCUAAUCCUGGUCGGACAUCAGGAGGUUAGUGCAAUGGCAUAAGCCAGCUUGACUGCGAGCGUGACGGCGCGAGCAGGUGCGAAAGCAGGUCAUAGUGAUCCGGUGGUUCUGAAUGGAAGGGCCAUCGCUCAACGGAUAAAAGGUACUCCGGGGAUAACAGGCUGAUACCGCCCAAGAGUUCAUAUCGACGGCGGUGUUUGGCACCUCGAUGUCGGCUCAUCACAUCCUGGGGCUGAAGUAGGUCCCAAGGGUAUGGCUGUUCGCCAUUUAAAGUGGUACGCGAGCUGGGUUUAGAACGUCGUGAGACAGUUCGGUCCCUAUCUGCCGUGGGCGCUGGAGAACUGAGGGGGGCUGCUCCUAGUACGAGAGGACCGGAGUGGACGCAUYACUGGUGUUCGGGUUGUCAUGCCAAUGGCACUGCCCGGUAGCUAAAUGCGGAAGAGAUAAGUGCUGAAAGCAUCUAAGCACGAAACUUGCCCCGAGAUGAGUUCUCCCUGACCCUUUAAGGGUCCUGAAGGAACGUUGAAGACGACGACGUUGAUAGGCCGGGUGUGUAAGCGCAGCGAUGCGUUGAGCUAACCGGUACUAAUGAACCGUGAGGCUUAACCUU
rnacentral:rRNA from 1 species